GGGCCCGCACAAGCGGUGGAGCAUGUGGUUUAAUUCGAUGAUACGCGAGGAACCUUACCAGGGCUUAAAUGUAGUAUGACCGGUCUAGAAAUAGACCUUCUCUUCGGAGCAGAUUACAAGGUGCUGCAUGAUUGUCGUCAGCUCGUGCCGUGAGGUGUUAGGUUAAGUCCUGCAACGAGCGCAACCCCCUAUUCUUAGUUGCCAGCGGUUCGGCCGGGGACUCUAAGAAGACUGCCAGCGCAAGCUGAGAGGAAAGGUGGGAUGACGUCAAAUCAUCACGGCCCUUACGUCCUGGGCUACACACGUGCUACAAUGGUACAGACAGAGGCAGCCACCUGGCGACAGGGAGCGAAUCCUUAAACUGUAUCUC
rnacentral:rRNA from 1 species